rnacentral:rRNA from 1 species
AGAACGCGUGGAGCAUGUGGCUUAAUUUGACUCAACGCGGGAAAUCUUACCGGGUCCGGACACACUGAGGAUUGACAGGCAAUAUUAAUAUAUACUUUUUUGCAUUCCUUCGGGUAUGUUAAAUGUCAUAUAUUAUGUUAAAUAUGCUAGUCCUUUCAUGAUUAUGUGAUAGGUGGUGCAUGGCCGUUCUUANUUCGUGGAGUGAUCUGUCUGCUUAAUUGCGUUUCACUAAGGGCCUAUACAAUUACNUAUGUUGUUAUUACACUUUGACCCCUCCUUCACGGGUGCGUGUGUCUUUGACUGUUUCAACUCAUACAAUUANGUCCUGAAAGCAACGAACGUGACCGCAACCUCUUGUUGCUUUCGUAUACCCUUAUAACACAGUUUUUAUGCUCUUACGUAUUAAUUUCUGUGCAAGAAAGCUUUUUAAACUANAGGGACCGCUGUUAUCUUCUUAAACCAGAGGAAGGUUGCGGCAAUAACAGGUCUGUGAUGCCCUUAGAUGUUCCGGGCUGCACACGUGCUACAAUGAUUAUUGCAGUGAGCAUCUCAUUUUUAUAUACACCGCAUGCGCGAGUCCAUUUAUUCNNUUUCUCUACCUUCACGGGUAUCGCUGUUUUAAAUGUGUAUCUCUCCGCGCGGUAAAGCCUGCUUCGAGAGUAAGUGGGUAAUCAAUUAGAAGUAAUGAUUCCUUUUUUUCUGCACACAUAUAUACGGCAGUUAUACCCGGGUAACCUUGUUGUUACUUUUCUGUGUGUAUAGCUGUACCCUUUUUCCGUAUGUGCGAUUGUCAAUUCAUGGUGGGGACAGACCAUUGUUAAUUGUUGGUCUCGGUCUUAACUAGGAAUGCCUUGUACGGGUCUUUGGUUCAACAAACCACCCGGAACACGUCCCUGCCCUUUGUACACACCGCCCGUCGCUCUUACCGAUGGACUUCUCUGUGAGUUUGAGGGACUGGGAACGCAAUUGGAUUUUAUCCACAUUGCACACCUAUGGAAACUUAAACGAACAGUGUGGUCUAAAGGAAAGAGAAGUCGUAACAAGGCAUCAGUAGGUGAACCUGCAGAAGGAUCA